GACUCUGCCUUUGCUUGCAGUUCUCUGGCUUGAUUGAGGAGGUUCUCACUUUCAUCUUUAUGGGACUUUGGCUAAAAAAAUAAACUGUCAAAGGAACUGGCAUUUGCUGACUGGACUACAGCACAUCUCGAAGAAUCUGCAGACUGAAACCUUCAAGGCAUUCAUGAAAUGGUCUUCCCUUAGUUCCCCUGCCUUUUCCACUCUUUCUGCCAUUUGGAUUUCACACUGGAAGUUCAAGAGAUGACAUCAGAAAACAGAAAAGCCAGUGGGAAAGGCAAGGAGAUUUGGAAGAGUGUUUGAAAAUUUUGGCAAUCAAGAAUAAGAAGGUCAGUAAAUUUCAGUGCAGGACCACAUAAGUCUAAAAUACUACCUACGAUUUUGCUUAAAGAUCGUGCAACUGUGUAGACGGAUGUUCCUGCAAACCCAAAGCAGGAAGCCAAGUCACCAGGCAGAACUGAUAGCAUGGGAAGUGGGUUCCCACCAGUCGCAUGCAGCUGCUCUGGUAUGGCCAUGGUGCUGGGGAUGAGUCAGAAAUCUCAGUCUUUUCUGGCUUAAAGAAAAGGAAGAAUGGAACCCAUCUUCUCCAGAUAUGUUGUUAUGGGGUAGGUGUAGGUCUAGAGACAGAAAAGAAUCACAUUUGAACAUCCUCUUAAUGCAAGAACAUUUUUAAAGAAACAAUUUUCCCUGAAUAUCCAUCAAGCCUAAUACAGUGUGACUAUCUGAGAUCAAUUAUUCUUAUCUUUACAAAGACUGGGAGUUAUACAGCAAAAGCAAUACUGUAAAAUAUGUGU
rnacentral:lncRNA from 1 species